rnacentral:misc_RNA from 1 species
UCCUUUUAAAAGGAGGAUUAUCACAAAUAAUUAGCUGCUUAACAGACCCAACUUGCAAUCCAUCUGUCUCAGACACAUGUGGAGUUUGAAUUUUUGUCAGGAGUUGAUCAGUACCUGUCCAUGCGGAAUCAAUUCUGUCAGACAGAUUGGAAGCAUCAGAGGGGAUAUCAUCAAACGAUGUGUUAUUUACAAUAACAUCCCCAUCUGAAUGUACUUCCUCCUCUCUGUUAUUAUGAUGAUAUGAAGGCAACAUAGAAUCUUCAUCAACAAAAUGUUGAAAAGAUAGUGUAUUCUUAUUGUGCUCCGACAGUAGGUCAUUCCCAACAGAAUCUAGUGGUUUUGAAUAGCUGGAGACAUUUUCUACAUGACCAUAGUCAAGCCUACAAUCCUUGCAAGAUAUAUCAUCCCUUGACUCUUUUAGCUGUGUAUUGGAUGUUUCCCCGUGUAUAGCCUUGAAAACAGAAUUUGUCUUCAGGAGAGAAUCCAAUGAAUAAAGUUGACGAUCCCAAACAUGUGAACCAAUUAGAAGAGCACGUCUCAAGCGAUUAAGUUCUAGAAGGUCUAAAAUUGCCUGACCCAGUUGUGAGCUCUCCAUGACAGCCUCUUGUAGCAUGCCAGUGUAAUAAUUUCUUUCCGUUCUAAGUUGAUCUUUAAGCUCCAUGAUGUGAUUCUGUAAGUCAUUCAUAUCUGACAGCUUACAUCCGAAAUGCUUACUUUUCUGUUCCAUGCUGUCAAGUGCAUCAGAUAUCUCUGCAUAGAAGGCUUCUAUAUUGCCCAAAAGCUCUGCUGCCUCUUUUCUUAUCCACUCUUGCUGAACAUGGCCACUGAAUUCAAGCAUUGAUGGAGGUAAAUGAACAUUAAGAAUAUCAAUGGGGGAAUAGCGGAAGAAUGCAACCAUGCUCCCAAACCCAUAGAAUCGAAGGCAGUCCCUCUGCAAUGAAUGACCACAGGGAGCCACACGAUUAGCAGUUGCAUGGUUUGAAAAGCUCAGCUCCAAAAACUUCCCAAAAGAAAGUCCCCAAGCAGCAUCUGACAUAACCAC